rnacentral:piRNA from 1 species
UGGUGAAACCUGAGGUGCAAGACUCCAGGU